GACGAACGCUGGCGGCGUGCCUAAUACAUGCAAGUCGAGCGGACGAUUCGAAAGCUUGCUUUUGAAUCGUUAGCGGCGGACGGGUGAGUAACACGUGGGCAACCUGCCCUGUAGACGGGGAUAACACCGAGAAAUCGGUGCUAAUAUCGGAUAACACGAAAUGUCGCAUGACGUUUCGUUGAAAGGCGGCGCAAGCUGCCGCUACAGGAUGGGCCCGCGGCGCAUUAGCUAGUUGGUGAGGUAACGGCUCACCAAGGCGACGAUGCGUAGCCGACCUGAGAGGGUGAUCGGCCACACUGGGACUGAGACACGGCCCAGACUCCUACGGGAGGCAGCAGUAGGGAAUCUUCCGCAAUGGACGAAAGUCUGACGGAGCAACGCCGCGUGAGCGAAGAAGGCCUUCGGGUCGUAAAGCUCUGUUGUUAGGGAAGAACAAGUAACGUAGUAACUGACGUUACUAUGACGGUACCUAACGAGAAAGCCACGGCUAACUACGUG
rnacentral:rRNA from 1 species